AUACGUAGGUGGCGAGCGUUGUCCGGAAUUACUGGGCGUAAAGGAUGCGUAGGUGGAUAUUUAAGUGGGAUGUGAAAUCCCCGGGCUCAACCCGGGAACUGCAUUCCAAACUGGGAAUCUAGAGUGCAGGAGAGGAAAGCGGAAUUCCUAGUGUAGCGGUGAAAUGCGUAGAUAUUAGGAGGAACACCAGUGGCGAAGGCGGCUUUCUGGACUGUAACUGACACUGAGGCAUGAAAGCGUGGGUAGCAAACAGGAUUAGAUACCCUGGUAGUCCACGCCGUAAACGAUGGGUACUAGGUGUAGGAGGUAUCGACCCCUUCUGUGCCGUCGUUAACACAAUAAGUCCCCCGCCUGGGGAGUACGGUCGCAAGACUAAAACUCAAAGGAAUUGACGGGG
rnacentral:rRNA from 1 species